rnacentral:rRNA from 1 species
CCUACGGGAGGCAGCAGUAGGGAAUCUUCCGCAAUGGACGAAAGUCUGACGGAGCAACGCCGCUUGAGCGAAGAAGAUCUUCGGAUCGUAAAGCUCUGUUGUUAGGGAAGAACAAGUACGGGAGGAAAUGACCGUACCUUGACGGUACCUAACGAGGAAGCCACGGCUAACUACGUGCCAGCAGGCGCGGUAAUACGUAGGUGGCAAGCGUUGUCCGGAAUUAUUGGGCGUAAAGCGCGCGCAGGCGGACUUUUAAGUCUGAUGUGAAAUCUUGCGGCUCAACCGCAAGCGGUCAUUGGAAACUGGGAGAAUUGAGUGCAGAAGAGGAAAGCGGGAUGCGACGUGUAGCGGUGAAAUGCGUAGAGAUGUGGAGGAACACAAGUGGCGAAGGCGGCUUUCUGGUCUGUAACUGACGCUGAGGGGCGAAAGCGUGGGGAGCAAACAGGAUUAGAUACCCGAGUAGUC